UCGGCCCCACGGUGGGCGCCAAUUGUUUGUGCAGGAUUCGGUUGAUUAGAACGAUGAACGUAGGAAUGGGGUGACUAAAGACGCUUUUAUUAGAAUCAAACAAGAGGUUACAAGAUUGACGGGAAAUAAGGAGACAAGAUCAAAGGUUCAAGCAACAGGAUCAAAGAGAUGAUUAGGAAACCCUAGAUCUAGCCGCUUCUGUGUGUGUUGUCCAAAAGUCCUCUUUUUUGUUGUCUCCUCAUCCCCUCUUAUAGUGUCCCCGUCCGUGAUGCCCUAAUCGUGUCGUCCUUUGGGCCCUGUCGUUAAAGGCCGAG
rnacentral:lncRNA from 1 species